rnacentral:rRNA from 1 species
ACCUGCCGAAGAUCAUUG